rnacentral:siRNA from 1 species
UCUGCAGUUAGAGGUGGGUUUGAC